AACGAACGCUGGCGGCAUGCCUAACACAUGCAAGUCGAACGAGACCUUCGGGUCUAGUGGCGCACGGGUGAGGAAUACAUCGGAACCUACUCUGUCGUGGGGGAGUAACGUAGGGAAACUUACGCUAAUACCGCAUACGACCUACGGGUGAAAGCAGGGGAUCUUCGGACCUUGCGCGAUUGAAUGAGCCGAUGUCGGAUUAGCUAGUUGGCGGGAUAAAGGCCCACCAAGGCGACGAUCCGUAGCUGGUCUGAGAGGAUGAUCAGCCACACUGGAACUGAGACACGGUCCAG
rnacentral:rRNA from 1 species